rnacentral:tRNA from 1 species
CCGGCGGUAGCUUAACGCACAGAGCAGCAGACUUCGAAUCUGCGAGGUGGGGGUUGGAAUCCCUCGCGCCGGGCCA